CCUGGCAGAGCGAUGUUGAUUUGUUCUUUGCCGUCACCUCUUGGGCCAGCAGAGCAAUUGUGUCGGGGUUUGCACUGUACCUGUCGCUGCUCAGGUCAAGCACAUCCACUCCAAGCCACAAAUGCCAGCAGCUUCAAGCUGGACAAUCCACAGUAACUCCUUUCAAAACGUGGGGCUGAUCUCAAACUGG